GACGAACGCUGGCGGCGUGCCUAACACAUGCAAGUCGAACGGAGAUUUCAGCAAUGGAAUCUUAGUGGCGAACGGGUGAGUAACGCGUAGACAACCUACCUUCUAGAUGGGGACAACACUGCGAAAGUGGUGCUAAUACCGAAUGUUGUAUGUGAAACGCCUGUUUCACAUACUAAAGGUGGCCUCUAUUUAUAAGCUACCACUAGAAGAUGGGUCUGCGUCCGAUUAGCUAGUGGGUGAGGUAAUGGCUCACCAAGGCGACGAUCAGUAGCCGGUCUGAGAGGAUGAACGGCCACACUGGGACUGAGACACGGCCCAGACUCCUACGGGAGGCAGCAGUGGGGAAUCUUCCGCAAUGGACGAAAGUCUGACGGAGCAACGCCGCGCGAGUGAAGAAGGUUUUCGGAUCGUAAAACUCUGUUUUCAGGGACGAAUGUGCAAUAUGUGAAUAAUGUGUUGUAAUGACGGUACCUGACAAGAAAGCCACGGCUAACUACGUGCCAGCCGCCGCAGUAA
rnacentral:rRNA from 1 species